UCCCUGGUGGCUCAGAGGUUAAAGCGUCUGCCUGCAAUGCGGGAGACCUGGGUUCGAUCCCUGGGCUGGGAA
rnacentral:tRNA from 1 species